GAUGAACGCUGGCGGCGUGCCUAAUACAUGCAAGUAGAACGCUGAAGGAGGAGCUUGCUCUUCUGGAUGAGUUGCGAACGGGUGAGUAACGCGUAGGUAACCUGCCUGGUAGCGGGGGAUAACUAUUGGAAACGAUAGCUAAUACCGCAUGACAACAGUUAUUGCAUGAUAACUGUUUAAAAGGGGCAACUGCUCCACUACCAGAUGGACCUGCGUUGUAUUAGCUAGUUGGUGAGGUAACGGCGCACCAAGGCGACGAUACAUAGCCGACCUGAGAGGGGGGUCGGCCACACUGGGACUGAGACACGGCCCAGACUCCUACGGGAGGCAGCAGUAGGGAAUCUUCGGCAAUGGGCGGAAGUCUGACCGAGAAACGCCGCGUGAGUGAAGAAGGUUUUCGGAUCGUAAAGCUCUGUUGUAAGAGAAGAACGAGUGUGAGAGUGGAAAGUUCACACUGUGACGGUAUCUGACCAGAAAGAGACGGCUAACUACGUG
rnacentral:rRNA from 1 species